rnacentral:hammerhead_ribozyme from 1 species
AUCCAGAUGAUGAGUCGCAAAUAGGACGAUACGUACGUCCUGGAU